GGCAAGUGAGUUUAUUCCGGGGAAAGAGAGCCGUCUGCUUAUUGGCCGGGUGGUGAUGAGUGAUACGUCGGUGAUUUAAUAUCGGAAGUUGUUUACUUCACAGCAAUUUUUGAAGGUUUUUCCAGUCUUCCAGAAUCAUUGAGAGGAAGCCACUGCAUAUCUCAGCAAAACUGGACAAAGCAGGGGGAAGAAAGCCAGGACAAGAAGCCGAUCCAACACGGAGGACAACCGGGGCUCACCUAUUAGACUCAUAAUUACAAGACGAUUUCAGAUUCACAAAAUGGCCCUCUACAUAUGUCUUUGGGAUAUGGAAGAUAAACCAGAGUUCAUGGAGAAAAGCCUAAACUAAGAAGGGGAUAAUGCAUAAACUCUAUGCAUGCCGUGCUUGAGUUGGAACUUAAAACAUGGGACUCUAGAGAUGAAAAUGUACUAUUUCCUGAUUGUAAGCCACUGUAAAUUCAAAUAACGUACAUUCAAAUAAGACUGCUUUGGUGUCAUUCUAA